UGGGGAAUUUUGGACAAUGGGGGAAACCCUGAUCCAGCCAUCCCGCGUGUGCGAUGAAGGCCUUCGGGUUGUAAAGCACUUUCAGCGAGGAGGAAGGUGGUGAGCUUAAUACGCUCAUCAAUUGACGUUACUCGCAGAAGAAGCACCGGCUAACUCCGCGCCAGCAGCCGCGGUAAUACGGAGGGUGCAAGCGUUAAUCGGAAUUACUGGGCGUAAAGCGCACGCAGGCGGUUUGUUAAGUCAGAUGUGAAAUCCCCGGGCUCAACCUGGGAACUGCAUUUGAAACUGGCAAGCUAGAGUCUCGUAGAGGGGGGUAGAAUUCCAGGUGUAGCGGUGAAAUGCGUAGAGAUCUGGAGGAAUACCGGUGGCGAAGGCGGCCCCCUGGACGAAGACUGACGCUCAGGUGCGAAAGCGUGGGGCAGCAAACAGGAUUAGAUACCCUGGUAGUCCACGCUGUAAACGAUGUCGAUUUGGAGGUUGUGCCCUUGAGGCGUGGCUUCCGGAGCUAACGCGUUAAAUCGACCGCCUGGGGAGUUACGGCCGCAAGGUUAAAACUCAAAUGAAUUGACGGGGUC
rnacentral:rRNA from 1 species